AUUGAACGCUGGCGGCAGGCCUAACACAUGCAAGUCGAGCGAGCGGCGGACGGGUGAGUAAUGUAUGGGGACUGCCCGAUAGAGGGGGAUAACUACUGGAAACGGUGGCUAAUAACGCAUACUACCGGAUAACACAUAUGGGAUUAGCUAGUAGGUAAGGUAAUGGUUUACCUAGGCGACGAUCCCUAGCUGGUCUGAGAGGAUGAUCAGCCACACUGGGACUGAGACACGGCCCAGAUUCCUACGGAGGCAGCAGUGGGGAAUAUUGCACAAUGGGCGCAAGCCUGAUGCAGCCAUGCCGCGUGUAUGAAGAAGGCCCUAGGGUUGUAAAGUACUUUCAGUCGGGAGGCGUUACCGACAGAAGAAGCACCGGCUAACUCCGUGCCAGCAGCCGCGGUAAUAC
rnacentral:rRNA from 1 species